UACGUAGGGCGCAAGCGUUAUCCGGAAUUAUUGGGCGUAAAGAGCUCGUAGGCGGUUUGUCGCGUCUGCCGUGAAAGUCCGGGGCUCAACUCCGGAUCUGCGGUGGGUACGGGCAGACUAGAGUGAUGUAGGGGAGACUGGAAUUCCUGGUGUAGCGGUGAAAUGCGCAGAUAGUCAGGAGGAACACCGAUGGCGAAGGCAGGUCUCUGGGCAUUAACUGACGCUGGAGGAGCGAAAGCAUGGGAGCGAACAGG
rnacentral:rRNA from 1 species